rfam:Gossypium arboreum cultivar AKA8401 contig_4106_5, whole genome shotgun sequence.
UAAUAAAAAUUCCAUCCAUUCCAACUGUUAAAAGCCAGCAUGGGUGAUGAAAUAACCAAACAAUUACACGUGGUGUGUCACAAGUACCUAAUGCUAACAUACAGGACCAGUUUUUAACAAUAAAAAAGAAUAGAAUUAUUAACA